rnacentral:misc_RNA from 1 species
CAGAUGUUGUCCAAGUUGUCAAAACAAAAAAAAAAGUCCUUAUCAACAAAGCUUCAACAAUUCACAAGCAUAAUUCUCUGUUGGCCUUGCUUAGAUGUCAUGAGUGUGGGGCACAUAGUACAUAGCACGUUCAAAUAUCACCAAACAAUAAAAGGCUUCAGUGUUGAUAAACAAUAUAUUGUAGAAAUACAAACUAAACUAGAAAUUCUAACAUCCAUGAAAAAUUCAUUAAAGUUCACAAAGCGAAAAUACCAAAUAAUUCAGCCAUCUAUCUUUCACAGGGUGGUUACAUGAAAUUCAGAGUGUGUGCGUGUGUGUAGUAAAUACCAACACAAUGGCAAGCUACACACCUCAUCAAAGAAAAGUACACA